GGGAAGAAUACUGACGGUACCAAUCGAAUAAGCCUCGGCUAACUCCGUGCCAGCAGCCGCGGUAAUACGGAGGAGGCAAGCGUUAUCCGGAAUUAUUGGGCGUAAAGCGUCCGUAGGUGGUUUAGUAAGUCUGCUGUUAAAGCGCGGGGCUUAACUCCGUAUCGGCAGUGGAAACUACUAGACUAGAGUGUGGUAGGGGUAGAGGGAAUUCCCAGUGUAGCGGUGAAAUGCGUAGAUAUUGGGAAGAACACCGGUGGCGAAAGCGCUCUACUGGGCCAUAACUGACACUGAUGGACGAAAGCUAGGGGAGCGAAAGGGAUUAGAUACCCCUGUAGUC
rnacentral:rRNA from 1 species